GUAAAACCGGCGCACGGGUGCGUAACGCGUAUACAAUCUGCCUUUUAUCCGGGGGAUAGCCCGAAGAAAUUUGGAUUAAUACCCUAUGGUAUAAGAGCACGGCAUCGUGCACUUAUUAAAGCUACGGCGGUAAAAGAUGAGUAUGCGUUCUAUUAGCUAGUUGGAGAGGUAACGGCUCCCCAAGGCGACGAUAGAUAGGGGUUCUGAGAGGGAUGUCCCCCACACUGGUACUGAGAUACGGACCAG
rnacentral:rRNA from 1 species